AAACACUAGAGUUAUUUAUACUGAGACUCAGAUAACUACCAGGUAGUAAGAAAACACUAGAGUUAUUUAUACUGAGACUCAGAGGACUACCAGGUAGUAAGAAAACACUAGAGUUAUUCAUACUGAGACUCAGAGGACUACCAGGUAGUAAGAAAACACUAGAGUUAUUUAUACUGAGACUCAGAGGACUACCAGGAAGUAAGAAAACACUAGAGUUAUUCAUACUGAGACUCAGAGGACUACCAGGAAGUAAGAAAACACUAGAGUUAUUCAUACUGAGACUCAGAGGACUACCAGGUAGUAAGAAAACACUAGAGUUAUUUAUACUGAGACUCAGAGGACUACCAGGAAGUAAGAAAACACUAGAGUUAUUCAUACUGAGACUCAGAGGACUACCAGGUAGUAAGAAAACACUAGAGUUAUUUAUACUGAGACUCAG